rnacentral:rRNA from 1 species
UACGGGGGGAGCCAGCGUUGUUCGGAUUUACUGGGCGUAAAGGGCGCGUAGGCGGUCGUGACAAGUCACUUGUGAAAUCUCCGGGCUUAACUCGGAACGGUCAAGUGAUACUGUCGGACUAGAGUACAGAAGGGGCAACUGGAAUUCUCGGUGUAGCGGUGAAAUGCGUAGAUAUCGAGAGGAACACCUGCGGCGAAGGCGGGUUGCUGGGCUGAUACUGACGCUGAGGCGCGAAAGCCAGGGGAGCGAACGGG